ensembl:lincRNA E130120K24Rik RIKEN cDNA E130120K24 gene
GGAGGCUGUUGAAGGGAUCCGAUUUCUUGGCACAUGCACACUGGAGAAAAGCCUGCUACAGGGUCCUGAAAAGGCCUGAGUUUAGUGUGCACACAUCCAGCAAUGUGGAAUGGCAAAGUCUAGCUCUCGUCUGGUUCCCUCCACCAUUCCGAGCAUCAGUUUCCUUUCAACACUGACCUCCAAGCUUGUCUCACUGUAUUUUCUCGGAGAAUGAUUUCUUGGGACUUCAAGAGGAGAAAGGCCUAGAGAGACCAGCGGUGAAGAGCACUGGCUGCUCUCCCAGAGAUCCUGAGUUCAAUUCCCAGCAACCACAUGGAGGCUCGCAACCUAUACGAUUGUAGUCCCAUGAAUUCCUAUGUCUUCUUCUGGUGUGCAGAUGUACAUGCAGACAAGACAUCUGCAUAAAUAAAUGAAUCUUUAAAAACCAAGAAGCAGGAGGAGGAGAAAGAGGAAGAGGAAGAGGAAGAAGAAGAGGAGGAAGAGAAACAGAUCUUUGCAUGGUUGCCUCAGAACUCAGCACUGUAGCAAAUUAAAGCUGUUUUGGUUUUUUGUUUUA